rnacentral:lncRNA from 1 species
GUUAGUAGUUCAAUGCACUGAGCUUGCAAUCGUGAGCAUUUUAGAAAAGGAGAUUCUUGGAUGGACAGUAUCAGUUAAUGGUCAACUUUCUGUUAGUUCAUAUAUCCAAGCUGGGCUGUUCAACCAACAGGAAAGUAAAAAGGUCAAACAGGAAGGGAUGGAUUGGGAGUCAGUUCCGACCAGAGCUGUGGAAGGCUGAGAUCUGCCUGCAGUUCACCAGAAUGUUAGAAUAGAACAAAUCCGAUUUGGAAAAGAAUUUGGACGAUGCAGAUUCUAUAGUGGUUGGAAUUGCAAGUUAUGGAGCUCCCAGCAGCAGCAGUGGAAGGCAAUGUUUCUGUUUUCGGGCUCCACACCCUGAUGGAGGAGGAAGGAUUCUGCAGCUCUGCUCCCUAUCUGGAAAGGAAACAACAUAGCUCUUGGGAAGGAAAUAAACAGCAGCUGGAGAGGAGUGUGUCUGAUUGUAUGCAUGUGGCAGCUAAUACUGCCAUUUCCACAUCGAUUAACAUGAAAGAGGAGGUCUCUUUUCAAGGACAAAUGGCCAUGAACUUUUCUCAGAAUAACUGCUUGAAGGCCAGUUCAAGGAUACCUUCCAGUCCAGCAGAGAGUUUUCCAACAGGUAGGAAGUACCUUUUUCUUUGUUACACGUCAUUUGAGUAUUAG